GUGGCUGUAGCUCAGCAGGUAGAGCCCCGGAUUGUGAUUCCGGUUGUCGUGGGUUCGAGCCCCAUCAGCCACCCCA
rnacentral:tRNA from 3 species